CACGUAGGCGGAUCGGUAAGUCAGAUGUGAAAUCCCGGAGCUCAACUCCGGAACUGCAUUUGAUACUGCCAGUCUUGAGUGAGGUAGAGGGGGUGGAAUUCCCGGUGUAGAGGUGAAAUUCGUAGAUAUCGGGAGGAACACCAGAGGCGAAGGCGACCCCCUGGGCCUUUACUGACGCUGAGGUGCGAAAGCGUGGGGAGCAAACA
rnacentral:rRNA from 1 species